rnacentral:rRNA from 1 species
CCCUUAGAUGUUCUGGGCCGCACGCGCGCUACACUGAUGCAUUCAACGAGUCUAAAACCUGGUCUGAUAGGGCUGGGUAAUCUUUUGAAAGUGCAUCGUGAUUGGGAUAGAUGAUUGCAAUUCUUCAUCUUCAACGAGGAAUGCCUAGUAAACGCAAGUCAUCAGCUUGCAUUGAUUACGUCCCUGCCCUUUGUACACACCGCCCGUCGCUACUACCGAUUGGGAAAAUUUUAGAGAGUCCUGGACUGAUGAUUGUUCGGCUUCACGGCCUUACUUUCGUCGGGAAAGAAUUCGAUAACAUUUUUCUAGAGGAAGUAAAAGUCGUAACA